rnacentral:lncRNA from 1 species
AAAACAUUAUCGAGUAAUGCGCAGCAAACACGUAAUAGUUCUUCUUCCCAAGCAAAUAAAGAUAUCCUCCAAUUUCAUCAUCAUCCUUGUAUAUAUCAACCCCUUCUACACAUUUCUCACACAAUCACUCCUAAAUCCACCGUUAGACACACUAAUCUAAGAAACUUUUCACUCAAUGAUUCCCCCUUUAACCAAGGAUCACUCCAAAAACAACUUAAUCUCCCCAACUUACUCGAGUUCAAUGUUAUUAUCACAUAUUGAAAUUUAAAAGCUAUGUUACUAGUCAAUUAAUUCUUGCCUUCCUUGAGUAUUCAAGUGACUUUUGCUUUCUUGAGCUCUCCCAAUUUCAGUGUGUGAAAAUAUGGUGGCUUGGACCUCUAUUUAUAGGAAAAUUCGUGUUCAGCAACACGUCCCUUCGUACCACAAUUGUACCCAUCGUGGCAUGAUCCUUCAUAAAAUUCCCAUCGUGACACGAUUCCAACUGAAGAUUUGCUUUAAAUAUUGUUUCUCAUCAUGGU